CCAGGGCACAGCCCACUGCCCUGCACACAUAUGAGCAGGUGCUCACAGCCUGUGCAGGAGUCAGUGCCACUCAGGACACAGCAUGGACAUGAGGGUGCCUGCUCAGCUCCUGGGGCUCCUGCUGCUCUGGCUCCCAGGUGCCAGAUGUGCUGUUCAGAUCACCCAGUCGCCAUCCGAGGUGUCUGCACCUGUGGGAGGCACAGCCACCAUCAAUUGCCAGUCAAGUCAGAGUGUUUACAACAACAAUCUUCUAUACUGGUAUCAGCAGAAACCAGGGCAACGUCCAAAGCUCCUGAUCUAUAGUGCAUCCAAAUUAGCAUCUGGGGUCCCUGACAGGUUCAAGGGCAGUGGAUCUGGGAAAUCAUUCACUCUCACCAUCAGCGGGGUGCAGCAGGAGGACGCAGGAACCUACUACUGUUUUGGAGUAUAUGAUGAUGAUAGUGAUAACACAGUGAUACAAGCCUGAACAAAAACCUCCCAGGAAAGCA